rnacentral:rRNA from 1 species
GACGAACGCUGGCGGCGUGCUUAACACAUGCAAGUCGAACGGAAAGGCCCUGCUUUUGUGGGGUGCUCGAGUGGCGAACGGGGGAGUAACACGUGAGUAACCUGCCCUUGACUUUGGGAUAACUUCAGGAAACUGGGGCUAAUACCGGAUAGGAGCUCCUGCUGCAUGGUGGGGGUUGGAAAGUUUCGGCGGUUGGGGAUGGACUGGCGGCUUAUCAGCUUGUUGGUGGGGUAGUGGCUUACCAAGGCUUUGACGGGUAGCCGGCCUGAGAGGGUGACCGGCCACAUUGGGACUGAGAUACGGCCCAGACUCCUACGGGAGGCAGCAGUGGGGAAUAUUGCACAAUGGGCGGAAGCCUGAUGCAGCAGCGCCGCGUGCGGGAUGACGGCCUUCGGGUUGUAAACCGCUUUCGCCUGUGACGAAGCGUGAGUGACGGUAAUGGGUAAAGAAGCACCGGCUAACUACGUG